GGGUGGAAUUAUAAAGGGAAUUAUGAUAAUGAGUAACGGUUAACACAGAAGUGAAUCGCCUAAUAUUGAAAAUGCAAGUUUUAAUAUUGUGAUUUUUUGUUUUAUUUUCACAUCUCCUUAGUUAAGGACAGUAGGUGGAUUAACGCUACAUCUGCUGGGAAGGGAUCCUACAUGCUAGGUCUCAAUUUACAUUCAGAAGUGCCUUGGCUGCAUGGGCAAUUGUGAUUGAAGACUCUGUCUCCAUCCCUCCACUUUGCGGUCAAAACCACCUUAUGGGUGGGGAUUGAUUGUAUCCCAGGCACGGCAUCCUGCACUAAGCCAGUAUGGAAGGCUGGUUAGCCAACGACGGGUAAGAUCCCACCUUGAAGACCGGGACAACCUAAACAGGCACAGUCACGAUUACUUGGCAGUCACUGUGAGCACUGGCUCACUUGAUGAUGAAGUGACAUACUGCAACCAUCAUAGGAAGAGCCGGAGGGUCAAAGGUGGAGGGGGAACAGGAGUCAGAUAUGGCAGCCCCAGCAGCAGAGGUGGUGGUAUUGGGACAGGGCAUGUUGCGUUUUAUUUGACAGUUGAGGCAUGAAGGCCUGCUGACCCAUGAAAUCUUUUCGGUUUAGUGCAUGACUUGGUAACGGCGUGGUUUCAGGGCGGCUGAUGGUAAAACCCACCAAUAUCAACCUUUGGUUUUGGAUAUACUGGCUUCGAUUUCCCUUCCCAAUAGAUUGGUUUUAUUUUACGGAUGGUUAAGGUUAGGAGUUCCAACGUUGGUUCCACCAACGGCGUCGUUAGGUUUGCUUAUCAUUUAAGUGUGCAUGGUUUUGACCAUUGCGCAAGGGGGGAGGUGUUGAGGAGUGUUGAGGAGAAUUAGAAAACAAGGUUUUUUCUUCACCAUAAUUGCAAAAAAUGAUUGAUGACCAACUAAAUGAGUAUGAAUUAUGUGCAAAACACAAUAUAAUAAAAACAAUCACUGCUACAUUGGGACACAUUCCCACACCUGAAGGACCAUUUUGACAUUUGGUCAUGAACUAUGUUGACAUGUUGUGCAUGUUAGUUAUCCUUGACAGGUUCAGCAGAUGGGUAGAAGCAGUCCCAUCAAAAGACCAAAGUGCGGCUACAAUAAUCAAGUUUCUGACUAGAGAAGUCAUGCCAAGGUUUGAAAUUCAAUCAGAGAUAAGCUCAGACAAUGGGCCAGCGUAUAUUCAGCAAACACUGUUUCAAGCACUAAAUAGAACUGGUUAGAUGCAAUUAUUAUCUUCACACACAACUACACACACACACACACACACACACACACACACACACACACACACACACACACACACACACACACACACACACACACCUAUAUACACAUAUACACACAUCCACACACACACACACACACACUACAACAGCCCCUGGUGGAUUUCCCGGACCAGCUUCCCCUGGACGACCAGAUAGUGCCUGCAAACUUUGACUGUGAGUAUGGCCUCCCUCACCCUGCAACCUUUGACUUUGAGUACGAGCUCCCCUACACACUCCCAACCCCCGCCAUCGACUGCGUCCCCGCCGAGCCGGACAUCUACCCGUGAGUGCUAGUGGCCUCUCCAGGUGCACGGCCCCGGCGUCCUGUUUCCACCACCGUAUGCUGAAACCCCACCACCACACCCCCUCCCCCGCCUGUGACGUGCUAGUAACCUCUCCAGGUGGGCUGCCCCA
ensembl:lncRNA